AACGAACGCUGGCGGCAUGCCUAACACAUGCAAGUCGAACGAGACCUUCGGGUCUAGUGGCGCACGGGUGCGUAACGCGUGGGAACCUGCCCUUAGGUUCGGAAUAACUCCCCGAAAGGGGUGCUAAUACCGGAUAAUGUCUUCGGACCAAAGAUUUAUCGCCUUUGGAUGGGCCCGCGUUGGAUUAGCUAGUUGGUAGGGUAAAAGCCUACCAAGGCGACGAUCCAUAGCUGGUCUGAGAGGAUGAUCAGCCACACUGGGACUGAGACACGGCCCAGACUCCUACGGGAGGCAGCAAUGGGGAAUAUUGGAAAAUGGGCGAAAGCCUGAUCCAGCAAUGCCGCGUGAGUGAUGAAGGCCUUAGGGUUGUAAAGCUCUUUUACCCGGGAUGAUAAUGACAGUACCGGGAGAAUAAGCUCCGGCUAACUCCGUG
rnacentral:rRNA from 1 species